AAUAAUAUUCUAAAAUCAAAACCAUAUUAGUCUUAAAUAUUUCAGAUUAAGCAACAUACUUCAGUGGAGAUGAAUUCCGAUUGGAAAAGUUUAUAUAAAAAUAUCGAAAUAAGACAGACUAUGAGAGGUUCUAAGCCUUGAUACUCUAAAAUCAAAACCAUUAUACUCUUAAAUAUUUCAGAUUAAGCAACAUACUUCAGUGGAGGUAAAUUCCGAUUGGCAAAGUUCAUAUAGAAAAUUGAAAUGAAAGAUGCAUAUGAGAGUUUCAUGGAAGUGAAUACGCGCGCAUCAUAUGCAUCACGUGGAAAAAGAACCAGCAAUACUCGACAAUCAACACAGCAAACACUCCAAAAUCAAAACCAUGG